UGCUGGAUUGUAGUAGUCAUCUUCUCGGGCUUCAUUCCUGCUGUUGGGGGAGGUCUCCUUUGUGUUUUCUUGAGCUGGGUUGUUUAGGGGAUGGGAGUUGGUGAACUCUGCCUGUGCUGGCCUCCUAAGGUGUUCCUGGUGCCUCUUGCUGCUACGUGCCAUGGAUGCUUUUGCCUGCUCCCCCGUGAAUAUAAUAGGAGAUGCAGGGCAGAGGAACAGGAGAGCAGCAGCUCUUCUAUUCUUUAAAUGCCAUUUAGCCUUUAAAGGGCUAAAUACUGGUUUGCGCAGGCAGGUUUUUGAGUGUUUUUUUUUUUCUCUUUCUGGUGGUACCAAACCAAACUCAUUUAAAUAAACAUUUUGCGUAUGUUUCCUUUCAUGCCAUUUUUCACAGACCCCACAGCAGUAUUAACUGCCAGCUAUUGCAGUAUAAGCCAAAUACAGUGGAGCAUCUGAGUCUUAUGUAAUAAUGAUGUGCUGAGUACCUUUUGUGUUUCUGCCUAGAAGAGCUCCAUGUUGCUGUGAUUACCUUAUUUUGAUGAUAGAACAUUGGAUUUUGGUUGUUGUUGCAAGUGGAAAAAAACAGCGAUUGAUAGAGUAGAAUUAAUUUGCUUCACUACCAAGUUGUUACUUCUGAUGGAACAGCAGGCUACAUUGGGCAAGAGUAUGUCAGGAUGCAAAGAUACUGUAGUCCCAGCACCUAGCACUAUACAGGCCCUUGUUACAGAGAAGAUCCUUUGUUCUUCAGUGCAUUAAUGAGGAAUUCCUUUCCACUUUCAGCUCUGAUAAUGGCAACUGUAGCACUUGCUCCAGCAGCUGAUCUAACUAAGGAAGCAGUUGUUUUGUGUGUUCCUUGGAGGCGAAUGCAGUGCUACUGCUAAAUCUUUGCAGCUCUGUCAUGUUAAUGCCAGAAAAGAGAGAGUAUUUGAUUUUCUUAAAAAAACAAACAAUCCUACCACAAACCUUGCUUUUUGUGGUCGGCCCCUCAUAAAUGCUCUGGACUCCAUUCAGUUCUUUCUACUGAAUAAUUUCAGCGUAAGGCCCUUGUAAAGUUGGCUCUAAAAUGAAUUUAGUCCAAACCUUUUGUUUGUUAGUAAAGAACAAGUUAUAGACAGUAGAUCUUUCUUGUUUAAUAUGUAUAAGCUCCUUUUACAAGCUCUAUCCAAAGAACAUUCAGUUAAUUACUCAAGGCAUCUUGUUAUUUGAAGCCACUGCUAGUAGGGGAAGUGAACCUGCUUUUGAGAAAGCGCAAGCAGUUCUUUCUGACUGCUUUGUUCCCAGUCCUACAGCCCUGCUGAGCACUGCAUGUUGCUCCCUCACCAAUGGGACACCCUCACUGUGUCUGAUUCUCUCAGUGCUCCAGCACAGGGGAGGAAUAACUGACAUCAGGCAAAUGGCACCUAGGAACAAAAUCGAGCAGCAUGAUAGGAGAGUUAGGGUGGCUGCUGGGGCAAGGGGAACUGAGCUGACUUCUCUGCUUUCCUGUGUGGCCAGUCCUCUUCAUGCUGGAGGAGAGCUGGGCAGGGAUGCAGAGGUGGUGCCAGCUGCUGCAGGACACUGUAUACUUGUUUUUUCCAAGGCAAGUCACCAGUGGUUUUAGAUAAGUGCAGGAAACUGGUGGUGAUUCAGAUUGGGGUUUAGGCAUAGCUGCCAGCUGAUGGGCAGCCUUUCUGCUUCCAGCAGAGCCUGGCUGUUCCUGAAAGGGCUGGCACAUAGCUUUCCUGACCCCUUUUCCCAGCCCAGGAGAACAGCAGUUGCAUUGUGCACCUUUAGGGAAUGGCCGUCAGUGUUAGGGAUCCCUGUGCCCUUCCUUGGGGGGCCCAAGAAGGGAUGUGCUGAGGAAACCUGAGGCUGGUCAGGAGGUAGAGAGGGAUGUCAUGGGCAGGUUGUGAGGGCUUCUGCCCUUCCAUCAAUGCUGUUGCUGCUCCCCUGUUACAGACCGGGAGGUUUCAUGCUGCAGAAGCACUGUAAGAGCUCCUCAGCCUCCAUUAUCCCCUGGCACUGGACAUGAGGAGUAGGGCAGAGCGUUUCUUCUUGCCAAAAGCCCAUGACACCAGCCUCGUGCUGCUGCUGGGUCUGCUGCUGCCCUAGGCUGGCCCUGCCUGCUUGCUGGCAUCCAAGCACUGCUGUGACCCAUGGAGGUGACUGGCUCAUGUGCUCUGGGCAUGCAAGGUGGGAACUGCUUUUCCUCAUCUGCUGCAUCAGUGCAAAAAGCAGAGGCUUAAUGUUAAUCCCCUGGAGAGCUGGCAUAGGAGCUGCCUGUUAGAACCCUGGCACAGCAAUUAGACCCGGGUGAUUAGCGAGGGAGUACUGCGGCUCUGCUCUGGCGCCGAGGAGCACGUGUUCUCUUGUGCAGUGAGUGGAGCCGGGCCUGGGCCUGAGUCUUGGCUUUGGGUGGAGGCACAAGCUGGAGGACUGGCUCCCAGGGUUGCUGGUUUCCAUUCCUGGCCCAGGCAGAGUCUGGGUUAGUAACCAAGGCAGGAGUCCAGAGUCCCCCUCCAGAGACACUGUGCAGCACUUCAGGAGUGAGAUGGGACCCUGCAUGUCCUGCUGCCGGUGGCCAAGGUCCUUUCCCUCCUCUCAGAGGCUCAGUCGUGCUCCUGACCAGUGAAUGCACAGGACAGAGCCGCAGCAGCUGUGCAACAGCGAGGUGUCACAGUGGUUGUGCUGUCAGAGUACAGCAGCUUUCACAUCGGGGGAAGAAAACUUCCAAUUGCAGAGACGGCUGCCCCUCUGUAAAUAGCAAACCAAGUGACCUAAUUCAGCGCAGCGGCAGCUCCUUGGAGGCGUCCCUAAACAGGCUCCAUGGCGGCCGUGCUCAAGCUGACUCAUCACUUCCAGCAAGGCAGAGAUUGGAGCUUUCAGGCCCUAAGGAUUUCACUCUCUUUAUUAAUUUUAAAUUGAUUAAAAUGAAUUUUUGAAGUAUCAGGAGAGACUUGCCUAAAGAAAUGGUUGCAAAAAAAAGAAGGAAAUAGUCUGUGGGAGUUAACUGUGUGCUUAACAAUCUCUGGCUCAAAGAGCUGUGAGCACCCAUUGUGGCUUGGGAGGAGUCUUAUGUCAGCUAUUAUGUCCUGGUAGAUUAGCAAAGAUGGGAUUAAUCCAUCAUUAUUAUAAGAAAGUUACAAUUAUAAAGUGUCUUUUCUUAUACCCAGCACAAACCCACUGGUGUCAUCAUCCAUGCCGGGGUGCUAUUACAGGCAUCUGCUCUCAGCUACAAGGCUUUGUCCAGAAGUGAAGGUCUCUUAGGGAAGUGCAUCCCUACAGGAGCAUCCUGUUCUCUCCCAGCCUUGCCCAGUGCCUGAUGGGUCUCCUCAUAUGGUCCAGAGACUCCCUGAGGUAGCUUGUGGAGUGUCUUCUACCAGAACAGGCUGUCGGUUCCUCUGCUCAGCCUCCAAGUACAGGUGCUGCAGCAAGUGUAGGCAGUAACAGAUGGGUGGAGGAUCCCUUUUCCAAUCAGUUAGAACUAAGCUUUUCCUCUGGGCCAUUCUCACUUGCUGUUUGUGCCCCUGCUCUGCUGGGUGGAAGAUUCCUUAUGCUGUGAAGCAAGAGGAUUGCUGUCUCUUAUGAUUUCUGUCUGCUCCAAUGUAACAGCACAAGUCAAGGUUACACAGAUACUUACAGCUUUUCCAUUCCACCUCUCAGCUUUCACACAGAUGGGGAGGUGGGUGCAGUCUGCCAUCAAGCCAGCACCCCAGGGAUGCCUGUGGACCCAGCCAAGGCAGCAUCAGUGAGGAUCCUUCCAUGCCAUGGUGGACUCCAGAGGUGUAGGAACCCCCUUGGAUGUUACAAAAACAUGGUCAGAGCCCUCUCCACACGUGGAUUUCCCCCUGAAGGUCUCAAAAGCUGAACUGCUUCUAAUUCAGAUGCCAAAGCAGAAUCUGUUUCUCAUGUGCCCUGCAUUCGGCUGUCAGACUUGCACGCAAUGCUGUAAAACAGAUCCUGCUGAGGAAAAGCCUGGCUGAUGGGGAGACCUAUAGUUCCUAUGCACCUCCUUGAACAUCAGGAGCAGUCAACUGGGGUGACUGGAGGAGUCCAUCUCUUUCCCUUGCCCUCUAAGAUCAGGAUUUAUUAGAAAGAAACCUAGGCAAUGAAGAACCUACAGAAAUCUCACCAGGAGCAAUACCCACAUGCAGGUGCCAAAUGCCUGCAUGCACCUGAAUUCAGCUGAGGCAAAGGAGCUGAAUAUAAAUGUACUACAGAACAAAACAGGGCCAGUUGGAGGGUUUUCUGUCAGAGAAAGGAAGAGCCUGGGGAGGUAGCAGGCAGAAACACUAGGCGGUUACAUAUUCCUCCUUGCUCCAGCUUUAAAUAAAGCCUCAGUCCACUGGAUAGUGCUCUCCUCAGGGACAGACGCCAAUGUCAUCUGAAGAGCUGGGCUUAGCGGCUGAUGGACCUGCACAGCCCGCAGAGGGGGAGCGGGGCACUGGGAAAGUGCUGGCAGUGACAGUGAAACAUCGUGUUCCCCUCUGGAUGCCAGGACAGAGCAAAUGUCUCCAACAGCAUUAGCUACCUGGGGCAGCCAAAAGCAGCUGUAAACUGUGGACUUUCAAUACAGGCGCACUCUGGAUUGCUGCGUGGCCACAGCAGCACAUGAGCCUGGCCUCACAAAGAGCAGUCAGCACUGCCGAGGGUGGACAUUUUGGGUGUAACUGUGCUUCACAGUGUUACAUCUGCUUGCAGCCAUUCUAGAGGAUCCACACACAGGCCAGAAGAUGACAGGAAUGCCAGAAAAGGCUUUCCACAAAAAAAAUCAAAACUUUCUGAAGCUUCAAUAAUCUGUGCUGACUCAUGCUGUUUCUGAGGUCUGCUGUUUUGUUGUUGGAGUAUAUUUUCUAGUCUGCACUAUAAGAAAACCCAUACAUGAAGAAAGGAAGAAAAAAGUAGAUAUAAAACAAACCACAGGCAUGGCCAUUGAUUUUUCUCGAGAAUGGAUGACCUGCCUUCUUCAGGUGUCCAGACCUGCUGCAGAAUAUGCAAGGUAAAAAUAGAAAGCAGAAUACUAAAACAAAGAGGGAGUAAAGAGUAAUACAAGGGACUUGGUGGUUUAGAUAUAGACAAUUCUGCUCCUCUCCAGUGACUUACAGUAACAGAGAAUAUCCUGCAGCCAGCAUGAUUUGGCCAGUAACCAAAAUAUAACACAGAGAUCUGACAGUAGGGAUUGCAGCUAGAAAAUGUGACAUUCUCUUUGGCGCAGCUGUCAUAUUAUACUAAGCCAGUUACUUCCCUUUAAUCCUAAUUAAUUCUCUUUCCACUCUGAGCCAGGUUCUCUGGUCAGCAGUAAUUCCAGGGGGUCUGCUGCUGCUCUUCCUACAGGAGCCCUCCGUCUUCAGUCAGCUUGUUCCUUUGCGCUCCUUCCAUAAGGAGCUAAAAUCAUUCAUUAUUUUAGCUGCUUCUCUAAUAUCAGUUAAUCUCAUUAACUGAUAUUAAAUAGAACUCCUGCCAUCCUCGCCAGCAGAAGAAAUCAAUGUUUCAUUCAUUAAAGAUAUCCACACUUAUAUAGGGAACACAUGUUUGCCAGAUGGUGCCAGUUCAGGGUUGCUGUCAGAGGGAGAGGUCUGCCCCUACUAAAAACAGGCUCCUGUCUUGCUGGCAAAAGCCAUCCCAGCCCCUGGGUUACCCCAAGGUGCUUGCUAGUCCUCGGUGCACUAGGGCAGAUGCCACUGGACCUCCUCUAGCUUGAGCUAAUUUGCAACCCCAGACAGCUGAGUAAUGUACAAAAUGAUGUUUUGUGGGAGGAAUACAAGCUGAUAUCUAGUGUCUACAUGCCAUGCUCUUGUAACAGUGCUGAUACAGACAUUAUUUUAGUCCCAACAUUUUUCAAAUUAUGUGAUUUAAUGCAGUUUGCUAAUACAUACAGUAACCAGAAGUUAUUUUAAAGGACAGUGUGUCUUUGACAGAUGCUGAAUAUAUGUUAUAUAAGCAUUGCAAAUGUUAGACAAUGUAUUUUAAAGUUUUAGACUGCUGUUAAUUUGAACAAACAACAUGUUUGUAGUCUCUGAAUGUUGAAAUGGUUUGGUCUCUAUUUCUUGUAAUUAUAAAAUUUCAUAUUUACUCAAA